rnacentral:rRNA from 1 species
GACGAACGCUGGCGGCGUGCCUAAUACAUGCAAGUCGAGCGAAGUUUUUCUGGUGCUUGCACCGGAAAAACUUAGCGGCGAACGGGUGAGUAACACGUAAGGAACCUGCCUCAUAGACUGGGACAACUAUUGGAAACGAUAGCUAAUACCGGAUAACAGCAUUAACUGCAUGGUUGAUGUUUAAAAGUUGGUUAUGCUAACACUAUGAGAUGGCUUUGCGGUGCAUUAGCUAGUUGGUGGGGUAAAGGCCUACCAAGGCGACGAUGCAUAGCCGACCUGAGAGGGUGAUCGGCCACACUGGGACUGAGACACGGCCCAGACUCCUACGGGAGGCAGCAGUAGGGAAUCUUCCGCAAUGGGCGAAAGCCUGACGGAGCAACGCCGCGUGAGUGAAGAAGGAUUUCGGUUCGUAAAGCUCUGUUGUUAGGGAAGAAUGAUCGUGUAGUAACUAUACACAGUAG